GGGAGUAUAGCUCAAUGGUACAGCAUUUGACUGCAGAUCUAGAGGUCCCCGGUUCAAACCCAGAUGCUCCCU